GAUGAAGAACGUAGCGAAAUGCGAUAAGUAAUGUGAAUUGCAGAAUUCAGUGAAUCAUCGAAUCUUUGAACGCACAUUGCGCCCUCCGGUACUCCGGGGGGCAUACCUGUCCGAGCGCCGUUGUACUACUGAGGCUCUGCCUUGCGGUGGCCGUUCCUCUCUCUGCCUGGCUGACGGGCGGGGAGGAUGGUCGAAACCGAUGGGCGCCCUGCGGGCUGUGUCCAGCGUAGCAAAAGUCUCUCGCUGGAUCGUGGUCUCGGGGGGCGCCAGCCCAACGCACAAAAACAACGAACACUUGGCCUCGGAUCAGGUAGGGAUACCCGCUGAACUUAAGCAUAUCAAUAAGCGGAGGA
rnacentral:misc_RNA from 1 species